AGAGUUUGAUCAUGGCUCAGAUUGAACGCUGGCGGCAGGCUUAACACAUGCAAGUCGAGCGGAGAUGAGGUGCUUGCACCUUAUCUUAGCGGCGGACGGGUGAGUAAUGCUUAGGAAUCUGCCUAUUAGUGGGGGACAACAUUCCGAAAGGAAUGCUAAUACCGCAUACGUCCUACGGGAGAAAGCAGGGGAUCUUCGGACCUUGCGCUAAUAGAUGAGCCUAAGUCGGAUUAGCUAGUUGGUGGGGUAAAGGCCUACCAAGGCGACGAUCUGUAGCGGGUCUGAGAGGAUGAUCCGCCCACUGGGACUGAGACACGGCCCAGACUCCUACGGAGGCAGCAGUGGGGAAUAUUGGACAAUGGGGGGAACCCUGAUCCAGCCAUGCCGCGUGUGUGAAGAAGGCUUAUGGUUGUAAAGCACUUUAAGCGAGGAGGAGGCUACUGAGACUAAUACUCUUGGAUAGUGGACGUACUCGCAGAAUAAGCACCGGCUAACUCUGUGCCAGCAGCCGC
rnacentral:rRNA from 1 species